UACGUAGGCAGCAAGCGUUGUUCGGAAUUACUGGGCGUAAAGAGUGUGUAGGCGGUGCUCCAAGUCUGGUGUGAAAUCUCCCGGCUCAACUGGGAGGGUGCAUUAGAAACUGGAAUGCUAGAGGAUGGGAGAGGUAAGGCGGAAUUCCUGGUGUAGCGGUGAAAUGCGCAGAUAUCAGGAGGAACACCGGUGGCGAAGGCGGGUCUCUGGGCCGAUACUGACGCUGAGGAGCGAAAGCGUGGGGAGCGAACAGG
rnacentral:rRNA from 1 species